rnacentral:rRNA from 1 species
UACGUAUGGGGCAAGCGUUAUCCGGAUUUACUGGGUGUAAAGGGAGCGUAGGCGGCAGGGCAAGCCUGAUGUGAAAGCCCGGGGCCCAACCCCGGGACUGCUCUUGGAACUGCAUGGCUGGAGUACAGGAGGGGCAGGCGGAAUUCCUAGUGUAGCGGUGAAAUGCAUAGAUAUCACGCAGAACUCCGAUUGCGAAGGCAGCAUACCGGCGCCCGACUGACGCUGAAGCACGAAAGCGUGGGUAUCGAACAGG